UACAGAGGUCUCAAGCGUUGUUCGGAUUCAUUGGGCGUAAAGGGUGCGUAGGUGGCGCUGUAAGUCAGGUGUGAAAUUUCGGAGCUUAACUCCGAAACUGCAUUUGAUACUGCGGUGCUCGAGGACUGGAGAGGAGACUGGAAUUUACGGUGUAGCAGUGAAAUGCGUAGAGAUCGUAAGGAAGACCAGUGGCGAAGGCGGGUCUCUGGACAGUUCCUGACACUGAGGCACGAAGGCCAGGGGAGCAAACGGG
rnacentral:rRNA from 1 species